UACGUAGGGUGCAAGCGUUGUCCGGAAUUAUUGGGCGUAAAGAGCUCGUAGGCGGUCUGUCGCGUCGGCUGUGAAAACCUGGGGCUUAACUCCGGGCCUGCAGCCGAUACGGGCAGACUAGAGUUCGGCAGGGGAGACUGGAAUUCCUGGUGUAGCGGUGAAAUGCGCAGAUACCAGGAGGAACACCGGUGGCGAAGGCGGGUCUCUGGGCCGAUACUGACGCUGAGGAGCGAAAGCGUGGGGAGCAAACAGG
rnacentral:rRNA from 1 species